rnacentral:rRNA from 1 species
AUUGAACGCUGGCGGCAUGCUUUACACAUGCAAGUCGAACGGUAACAGGGUGCUUGCACCGCUGACGAGUGGCGAACGGGUGAGUAAUGCGUCGGAACGUGCCGAGUAGUGGGGGAUAACGCAGCGAAAGUUGUGCUAAUACCGCAUACGUACUGAGGUAGAAAGUGGGGGACCUUCGGGCCUCGCGCUAUUCGAGCGGCCGACGUCUGAUUAGCUAGUAGGUGAGGGAAAGGCUCACCUAGGCAACGAUCUGUAGCUGGUCUGAGAGGAUGAUCAGCCACACUGGGACUGAGACACGGCCCAGACUCCUGCGGGAGGCAGCAGUGGGGAAUUUUGGACAAUGGGGUCAACCCUGAUCCAGCCAGUCCGCGUGAGUGAAGAAGGCCUUCGGGUUGUAAAGCUCUUUCGGCAGGAACGAAACGGCGAGCUCUAACAUAGCUCGCUAAUGACGGUACCUGAAGAAGAAGCACCGGCUAACUACGUGCCAGCCGCCGCCGUAAUAC